rnacentral:rRNA from 1 species
CCUACGGGUGGCAGCAGUAGGGAAUAUUGCUCAAUGGGGGAAACCCUGAAGCAGCAACGCCGCGUGGAGGAUGAAGGUUUUCGGAUUGUAAACCUCUUUUGUUAGAGAAGAACAUGACCGUAUCUAACGAAUAAGCACUGGCUAACUCCGUGCCAGCAGCCGCGGUAAUACGGAGGGUGCAAGCGUUACUCGGAAUUACUGGGCGUAAAGAGCGCGUAGGCGGGAUAGCAAGUCAGAUGUGAAAUCCUAGGGCUUAACCAUAGAACUGCAUUUGAAACUGUCAAUCUAGAGUGUGGGAGAGGUAAGUGGAAGUCUUGGUGUAGGGGUGAAAUCCGUAGAGAUCAAGAGGAACACUCGUGGCGAAGGCGACUUGCUAGAACAUAACUGACGCUGAGGAGCGAAAGCGUGGGUAGCAAACAGGAUUAGAUACCCGGGUAGUC